rnacentral:rRNA from 1 species
UUAAAGGAAUUGACGGGGCCCGCACAAGCGGUGGAGCAUGUGGUUUAAUUCGAUGCAACGCGAAGAACCUUACCUGGUCUUGACAUAGUAAGAACUUUCCAGAGAUGGAUUGGUGCCUUCGGGAACUUACAUACAGGUGCUGCAUGGCUGUCGUCAGCUCGUGUCGUGAGAUGUUGGGUUAAGUCCCGCAACGAGCGCAACCCUUUCCUUAUUUGCCAGCGGGUUAAGCCGGGAACUUUAAGGAUACUGCCAGUGACAAACUGGAGGAAGGCGGGGACGACGUCAAGUCAUCAUGGCCCUUACGACCAGGGCUACACACGUGCUACAAUGGUCGGUACAAAGGGUUGCUACCUAGCGAUAGGAUGCUAAUCUCAAAAAGCCGAUCGUAGUCCGGAUCGCAGUCUGCAACUCGACUGCGUGAAGUCGGAAUCGCUAAUAAUCGUGGAUCAGCAUGUCACGGUGAAUACGUUCCCGGGUCUU